rnacentral:rRNA from 1 species
UCUGACGUGCARAUCGAUCGUGUCACUUGGGUAUAGGGGCGAAAGACUAAUCGAACCGUCUAGUAGCUGGUUCCCUCCGAAGUUUCCCUCAGGAUAGCUGGAGCCCGUUGUAGUGUCAGUUUCGUCGGGUAAAGCGAAUGAUUAGAGGUAUCGGGACCGAAAGGGUCUCGACCUAUUCUCAAACUUUGAAUCGGCGAGUGAGACGGUCGCCUUGCCUGUCGGAAGGCGUCCGGUCAGUUGUCGGAAUGUGGUGGCUCCACGUGGGCCGUUUUUGGUAAGCAGAACCGGCGAUGCGGGAUGAACCGAAAGUCGGGCUAAGGCGCCUGAGUCGACGCUGAACAGAUACCAGGAAAGGUGUUGGUUGAUCCAGACAGCAGGACGGUGGCCAUGGAAGUCGGAACCCGCCAAGGAGUGUGUAACAACUCACCUGCCGAAUCAACUAGCCCUGAAAAAGGAUGGCGCUCAAGCGUCGCGCCUAGUUUCCCGACGUCCGGCGGCAGUGUGUUUCGUUUGCCCNGGCAGUAGGAGGGCGCGGAGGUCCCGCGAUUANCGACCNUGAGCGGUGCAGCCCGCGGCUCGAGCGCGGGUGGAGCGGCCUCCGGUGCUGAUCUUGGUGGUAGUAGCAAGUAUUCAAGGGAGGUCCUUGAAGACCGAAGUGGAGAANGGUUCCGUGUGAACAGCAGUUGGACACGGGUGAGUCGAUCCUGAGGGAAGGGGUAGUCCCCCCGUUGGCCCGACGGGGCGUCCGUCUCUCGGCGCCGUUCGGCUCGU